GUAUUAUCCAUGGUAACCAGAAUGUAAAUUUCUAUACAGCUCAUCAACGUUGUAUUGAUAUUGAUGGUACAUUACCUGUUAUAAUCUCUGGACAAGAUGAGAAUUAUUAUAAUGAUCUAUCAUUAUCCAAUGACGUAUGGCUAGGGUUGUAUAAAAAUGGCGAGAUAUUUAAAUGGUUGACUGGUGAAGAACUGUCUCAAACUUUCACAUGGAUGGACGAAAAUAAACAUCUCAGUGAAGCUCAUGUCGAGCUGCCAUUUAAUAAGAUCCAUGUAGAAGUAAAAGAUCACGCUUUUCUUUGCCAAUCUAGAAACUUGCAAGGCGAGAUUCCUGUUUCACAGACCAACCAGUUCUAUCUUGUAUCGGAUAACGCAUUAGUAAUUGGAAUCUAUCUGAAGAAAUUUAUCUCUACUAGGAAGACGGGUUGUGCUAGGGAAUGUUCUAAAUCCAUUGACUGCUAUCUGUAUACAAGAUCUGGGGUCGAGUGCACACUAUAUGGGGAUUUCUCCUACGUCACGGUUUCUAAUGGGAUACCUUUGUGGAAGAGAAAUGACGAUGACGUAGUAAAUGAUCCACCAUCAGUAAACUAUCAAGUCAUUAAGUAAUCUACGUGUAUUUUAUAAAGACGUUACAAUGUAACUUAUAGCUGAGAUAUUUAUCUUAUAUUAUUUAUCUUUCUUUGGUUUUAAUAAUUUAUCGUACUUUUAUCUUUAAUAAUAUUAUUUAUUUUACACACUUGUCUAUAUGGUGAUGUUUUAAAUGUAUGCACCUUUCCUAUUAUGUGUUGUACCUUACCUGUCUAUCCUUUUUGUAUUUAUAUUUUUCUAUUUUCA